CACGUAGUUAGCCGUGGCUUAUUCGACAGGUACCGUCUUCUGCUCUUCCCUGUCAAAAGAAGUUUACAACCCGAAAGCCUUCUUCCUUCACGCGGCGUUGCUGGGUCAGGCUUGCGCCCAUUGCCCAAUAUUCCCCACUGCUGCCUCCCGUAGGAGUCUGGGCCGUAUCUCAGUCCCAAUGUGGCCGGCCAACCUCCCAGUCCGGCUACUGAUCGUCGCCUUGGUAGGCCGUUACCCUACCAACUAGCUAAUCAGACGCGAGGCCAUCUCUCAGCGAUAAAUCUUUGGUACCAGUACCAUGCGAUACCCGUACGUUAUGCGGUAUUAGCAGUCGUUUCCAACUGUUGUCCCCCUCUGAAAGGCAGGUUCCUCACGCGUUACUCACCCGUCCGCCACUAAGUAGUCCUCUCCAUUGACCGAAAUCUCUUUCGAGGGUACUCCGUUCGACUUGCAUGUGUUAAGCACGCCGCCAGCGUUCGUCCUGAGCCAGGAUCAAACUCU
rnacentral:rRNA from 1 species